UACGGAGGGUGCAAGCGUUAAUCGGAAUUACUGGGCGUAAAGCGUGCGUAGGCGGUUCGUUAAGUCUGUUGUGAAAGCCCCGGGCUCAACCUGGGAAUGGCAAUGGAUACUGGCGAGCUAGAGUGUGUCAGAGGAUGGUGGAAUUCCCGGUGUAGCGGUGAAAUGCGUAGAGAUCGGGAGGAACAUCAGUGGCGAAGGCGGCCAUCGUGGACAACACUGACGCUGAGGCACGAAAGCGUGGG
rnacentral:rRNA from 1 species